UACAGAGGGUGCGAGCGUUAAUCGGAAUUACUGGGCGUAAAGCGUGCGUAGACGGUUGCAUAAGUCGGAUGUGAAAUCCCCGGGCUCAACCUGGGAAUUGCAUUCGAGACUGUGUAGCUGGGGUGCGGAAGAGGGAAGCGGAAUUUCCGGUGUAGCGGUGAAAUGCGUAGAUAUCGGAAGGAACAUCAGUGGCGAAAGCGGCUUCCUGGUCCAGCACCGACGUUCAGGCACGAAAGCGUGGGGAGCAAACGGG
rnacentral:rRNA from 1 species